UACAGAGGUCUCGAGCGUUAGGCGGAAUCACUGGGCUUAAAGCGUGUGUAGGUGGAUCGUUAAGUACCUUGUGAAAUCCCACGGCUUAACCGUGGAACUGCUUGGUAUACUGGCGGUCUUGAGCCACUUAGGGGCUACCGGAACAAAUGGUGGAGCGGUGAAAUGCGUAGAUAUCGGGAGGAACACCUGUGGCGAAAGCGGCUCACUGGACCACAACUGACGCUGAGGCGCGAAAGCGUGGGGAGCAAACAGG
rnacentral:rRNA from 1 species